rnacentral:lncRNA from 1 species
UUAGAGAUUUGAUGCAAUCUCAUUACCAAUCUACUAUCUAAUUCGUGGCUCUUUGUCUUUAUGAAUGUGUGUGUCUCUAUCAGACUUUUAUUUAGCUUACAUGUGUGUUGUUUGCUUAUGAAACCUCUAUGUAUUGGUUGUGUUGUAUGCCAAACUAAACGUUUGAAACUAUUUAAUUAUUGCAUGUGUGUGAAAACUAAUUAUUCUUUACUAAGCAAUACGUGAUUCGGGAGGUUUCUUUUUGAAAAGUUAUAAUUGGCCUCCGUGCUAGAAUUUUUUUGGAUCACAUUCAAGUUGUAUAAUGUUAUUAGGACUUAGGACAAGAUGCCUUGAGAGUGAUCAAACACAAGCCUUUAGUUCAAAAAAGAGUGAUCAAAAACAAUUUAUUAAACCGAAAAAGACUCAAAACUAUAUUUUAAAUGUAAUAUUAUUACAUGUAAACUGUUCUGUUCACGUUUGUGUCGUAUACAAUAUUUAUUCCCUAAAGUUUCUUUUAAAAACAGAGUUGUGUAGAAUCAAUCACACAUGCACCCUCAUGUUUAGCCUUCUCAACCAAACGGAGUGAAGAAUCAUUCGAAGCAUGUCAAACGGUUGGGACGGCCUAUUGAUAACGAAAUGUCUCUGGACCUGCAAAACUCUUCUUUGCAACACCUUGUAGCGUCUCAACGACACGCUCUUUAGUAUCGUUUUGAUCUCUGGGAUCUUCUCAGAGGGGACAUGAAUGGUGAACUUACUCCAAUCAAGAACGUCUGAGAAGGGCAAGGCGUAGUGAUCAGAGAUGAUGACAGGGACACAACCUAAGCUAAUGGCUGCUACGACUCGAGGGCUAGCCACUUCGUAGCCACUAGGACAGAGACAGAACCUUGCCUUGGCCAUGAGCUUGAAGUAGUCUUCCUUUCUUGGUAAGUACUCAUGGACUUGGACCUCAUCGUCUUUGUCUUUCCAAUGCUGCAGUAGAAUCUUGCGGAUAUUGCCGUGUACGCGGCCUGCAAAGAAAGCAAGGAUGGGUCGGUCAUGGCCGGAAGAAUUGGAUAACCUAGGUGGGCCCAGUUGGCCCAGGGGGAUGUUGAUCUCCGGGAUUGAGACAUCUCGUUGGGGCAUGAAACCUUCCGAUGUGUUGGCGUUGCAGAGAACUCUUAUCAUGUUUUUCAGCAGCUCCGGAUCCGAUCCCGAAACCUCUGGUGCCUGUAAGACGUUUUAUAAAUGUUGCGUGUUAGACACGAUAAGUAGGACCGGCUCAAAGUUUUUUAGACAACUUUGGACAGGAUUUUUUACAAGUUUUUAAUAACAAAAAAAUAUUCUACAACAACAAAUUAGUCUGAGUUUCUCAAACAAAAAAUAAAAACAAAUUAGUAUGAGUUUUCUCAAAGAAAAGCAAAUUAGUAUAAGUGAAUUAUUUAAUACUAUACGAUACUGUAAACAAUAAAGGUAGUUAAUUUUUUUAAAAUAAUAUAUUUAACUUUUUAAUAAAAAUGUUUUUAAAAAAAAUAAAUCAUUUUUUGACACUGAAAAAUUAAUUAAUUUUUUUUGAACUUUGGAAGCAUAAACUAUUAUUACAUAGAGGGUGAAAGCAUGGCCGGCUCAAAGUUUUUUAGGCACUUUAGGCAAAAAAAAAUUUAAAAGUUUUUAAUAGCAAAAAAAAAUAUUCUACAACAACAAAUUAGUAGUUUCUCACAAAAAAAAAACAAAUUAGUAUAAGUUUUCUCAAAAGAAAAGCAAAUUAGUACAAAUGUCUCUAAAAUUAUUUAAUAUAUGAUACUGUAAACAAUAAAGUUUGGUUAAUUUUUUUUUAAAAAAAAUAAGUUUUUAAUAAAAAAAAACUUUAAAAAAAUUAUAUCAUUUUUAACACUGAGAAAAAUAACUUUAUGAAGAAAACGAACCCAAUCAUGGCAAGAAACGAAGAAAUGGUCGGCUCCGAGGCUUCUAUUCCAAUAAGGAUACUUGUGAGUCACGACACUGACGUAGUCAAGAAACACUUUAUGAAGUUGUUCUCUUGAGUAGGUCACGAGCGGGUGGUAUAGGUACUCAACGACGUUGGCGACGCUAACCGGGAGGAGGAAGGUGUGAGCCUCGUCAGGGUGACUAGCCGCGAAUGGGCUCAUCCCUCUUUCCAUCUCGUCCACGAAUUGGCCUUCGAUGCUGUAUAUGUUGUUCAUUGGACCUAUGUGUACUAACGGUGUCUCUCCUUCUUUGUACACCCACACUUUGAAUCUCUUUUCCAUCUAUCUUCUUCUUCAUAUAAACCACAUAUCUUCUCCUCCAUAUCUUAACAAUUUCAUAGCAAACCCUAAAACUGAGAAGAGAGAGAAAAAAAAUGGGUAGAGGGAAGAUAGAGAUAAAGAGGAUAGAGAACGCAAACAACAGAGUGGUGACGUUCUCAAAGAGGAGGAAUGGGUUGGUGAAGAAGGCCAAAGAGAUCACGGUUCUUUGCGAUGCAAAAGUUGCUCUCAUAGUCUUUGCAAGUAAUGGUAAGAUGACUGAUUAUUGUUGUCCUUCCAUGGACCUUGGUGCUAUGUUAGACCAAUACCAGAAGUUAUCUGGCAAGAAACUAUGGGAUGCUAAGCAUGAGGUACUCUCUCUUUGAUAUAAUCUAAAGUUUCAUUGUCUCAAAAAAUAUUCUAUGACCAUUGAUUUUCAUGAAUUUCAUUGCCUAAAACAUGUCAGAUCCCUUGAAUCUUCAACUCUAGACGCAGAUCUACUCUAGUGUUUUGUCUCAAACAAAUAUUCUGUGCUACAUAUCAUGAAAUUGAUUCUUUAUUUAUAUUUUCCUAAAAUAUGUCAAAAAGAUAAACCAUGAACCCUAGAUGCAGAUCUACAAAGCUUUCUUUUGUGUGUUAAGCCUAUCAAGCCUCUUUAUUGAUUCUCUUGUACUCAAACAAGACAUGGAGCCACAAAACAUGGAAGUUAUUCUCUUCUUUCCAUUGUUUUCUUUUAUUAGUGCUUAGUUUUAAAGCUCUUGAUGGAUAUAUUCUAGAGUAAAAAACAUAUUGCAUUCACAACCUGUAUUUUGAAACCAUAAAAGACAAUCUUAAGUGUGUUAGAUCCAUAAGUAAUUUCAUUAUUAGGUCAUUAUUAUGGAGAUAAAAAACCUGGGGAGUGAUAUUACUGAUGAAAAUGUCUGAACAGUUUACCGAUUUUACAUUUGUGAUUUUCGAAACUAAUUAAAAACUGGGAAGUACUGUUGAAUAGACUUUUUUACAACAGGUCUAGUCAAAAUAUUAUAUUUUUAUUAAUUAGUUCGGACGAUAGGUUUUGUUCUCACAAAUGACAUAUAUAUCUCUAUACAGUAAUAAGCUUUCAUAGAGUUGUAAGCCAUUUAAGUGACUGCCUAGUAAUAUCUGUGUAUCUGCAUAUAUAUACUUUUUACAUAAAGCGUGAAUGUGUAUAAAUAUAUAUAUAUAUAUAUGUAUUUAUAUGCAUAAAUCAUGAGCAUAUAGAGAUCGUCAUGCAUAACCAGAUCUGAGUCUCCAGUUUCUUUUUAAGACAUAUUUUAUGUCUAGUGUAUGGACAAGGGAAUUUUUAGUUUGAUCUAAAUUCUUAAAUACCAAUUUUGUUCAUCUAAUACACAUCCAAAUAAUUUUGGUCUCCAGAACCUCAGCAAUGAGAUUGACAGGAUCAAGAAAGAGAAUGAUAACUUGCAACUCGAGCUCAGGUCAAUCUUCACCCUUGGCCACAUCUUUGCACUAGUAUAUAUAAAAUGCUUGGUUAAAAAUGUUAAAUAUCAAUAUAAAUGAGAAAUGGAUAUAAGUCUUGAAUAUAUACAGGCACUUGAAGGGGGAAGAUAUACAGUCUCUCAACUUAAAAAACCUGAUGGCCGUAGAGCAUGCCAUUGAACAUGGCCUCGACAAAGUCCGAGACCACCAGGCAUGAAUAAUAUAUCUGUACAUUCAUUCAUACAUCUCUUCGUACAUUCAUAUUCAACAACUCUUGUAUGGUCUGUUUGUCUCAGAUGGAGUACCUCAUGACGAAAAGGAGAAAUGUGACCAUAUAAACAAAUUUCUAUACCUUACUAUUUAGCCUUCAGAUUGAUUAUUAAUUAGUGCUUACAGUUACAUCAAACAUUUUCUGUGGCAGGAAAAAAUGUUGGCGGAGGAGAAUCGGCAACUCAGUUUCCAGCUGGUACAUUUAAAGUCAUAUAUCCUUGAAGCCUUUAGCGUUAUUGAUUUGGUUUAAUAAUAUAUAUAUUAGUAUGUUUGUUGGGUUUGAUAUAUGCAGCAACAACAGGAGAUGGCUAUAGCUAGCAAUGCAAGAGGUAUGAUGAUGAGGGAUCAUGAUGGACAAUUUGGAUACAGAGUCCAGCCGAUUCAGCCAAAUCUUCAGGAAAAGAUUAUGUCGUUGGUCAUCGAUUGAUCAUUAGAGAUUUGAUGCAAUCUCAUUACCAAUCUACUAUCUAAUUCGUGGCUCUUUGUCUUUAUGAAUGUGUGUGUCUCUAUCAGACUUUUAUUUAGCUUACAUGUGUGUUGUUUGCUUAUGAAACCUCUAUGUAUUGGUUGUGUUGUAUGCCAAACUAAACGUUUGAAACUAUUUAAUUAUUGCAUGUGUGUGAAAACUAAUUAUUCUUUACUAAGCAAUACGUGAUUCGGGAGGUUUCUUUUUGAAAAGUUAUAAUUGGCCUCCGUGCUAGAAUUUUUUUGGAUCACAUUCAAGUUGUAUAAUGUUAUUAGGACUUAGGACAAGAUGCCUUGAGAGUGAUCAAACACAAGCCUUUAGUUCAAAAAAGAGUGAUCAAAAACAAUUUAUUAAACCGAAAAAGACUCAAAACUAUAUUUUAAAUGUAAUAUUAUUACAUGUAAACUGUUCUGUUCACGUUUGUGUCGUAUACAAUAUUUAUUCCCUAAAGUUUCUUUUAAAAACAGAGUUGUGUAGAAUCAAUCACACAUGCACCCUCAUGUUUAGCCUUCUCAACCAAACGGAGUGAAGAAUCAUUCGAAGCAUGUCAAACGGUUGGGACGGCCUAUUGAUAACGAAAUGUCUCUGGACCUGCAAAACUCUUCUUUGCAACACCUUGUAGCGUCUCAACGACACGCUCUUUAGUAUCGUUUUGAUCUCUGGGAUCUUCUCAGAGGGGACAUGAAUGGUGAACUUACUCCAAUCAAGAACGUCUGAGAAGGGCAAGGCGUAGUGAUCAGAGAUGAUGACAGGGACACAACCUAAGCUAAUGGCUGCUACGACUCGAGGGCUAGCCACUUCGUAGCCACUAGGACAGAGACAGAACCUUGCCUUGGCCAUGAGCUUGAAGUAGUCUUCCUUUCUUGGUAAGUACUCAUGGACUUGGACCUCAUCGUCUUUGUCUUUCCAAUGCUGCAGUAGAAUCUUGCGGAUAUUGCCGUGUACGCGGCCUGCAAAGAAAGCAAGGAUGGGUCGGUCAUGGCCGGAAGAAUUGGAUAACCUAGGUGGGCCCAGUUGGCCCAGGGGGAUGUUGAUCUCCGGGAUUGAGACAUCUCGUUGGGGCAUGAAACCUUCCGAUGUGUUGGCGUUGCAGAGAACUCUUAUCAUGUUUUUCAGCAGCUCCGGAUCCGAUCCCGAAACCUCUGGUGCCUGUAAGACGUUUUAUAAAUGUUGCGUGUUAGACACGAUAAGUAGGACCGGCUCAAAGUUUUUUAGACAACUUUGGACAGGAUUUUUUACAAGUUUUUAAUAACAAAAAAAUAUUCUACAACAACAAAUUAGUCUGAGUUUCUCAAACAAAAAAUAAAAACAAAUUAGUAUGAGUUUUCUCAAAGAAAAGCAAAUUAGUAUAAGUGAAUUAUUUAAUACUAUACGAUACUGUAAACAAUAAAGGUAGUUAAUUUUUUUAAAAUAAUAUAUUUAACUUUUUAAUAAAAAUGUUUUUAAAAAAAAUAAAUCAUUUUUUGACACUGAAAAAUUAAUUAAUUUUUUUUGAACUUUGGAAGCAUAAACUAUUAUUACAUAGAGGGUGAAAGCAUGGCCGGCUCAAAGUUUUUUAGGCACUUUAGGCAAAAAAAAAUUUAAAAGUUUUUAAUAGCAAAAAAAAAUAUUCUACAACAACAAAUUAGUAGUUUCUCACAAAAAAAAAACAAAUUAGUAUAAGUUUUCUCAAAAGAAAAGCAAAUUAGUACAAAUGUCUCUAAAAUUAUUUAAUAUAUGAUACUGUAAACAAUAAAGUUUGGUUAAUUUUUUUUUAAAAAAAAUAAGUUUUUAAUAAAAAAAAACUUUAAAAAAAUUAUAUCAUUUUUAACACUGAGAAAAAUAACUUUAUGAAGAAAACGAACCCAAUCAUGGCAAGAAACGAAGAAAUGGUCGGCUCCGAGGCUUCUAUUCCAAUAAGGAUACUUGUGAGUCACGACACUGACGUAGUCAAGAAACACUUUAUGAAGUUGUUCUCUUGAGUAGGUCACGAGCGGGUGGUAUAGGUACUCAACGACGUUGGCGACGCUAACCGGGAGGAAGAAGGUGUGAGCCUCGUCAGGGUGACUAGCCGCGAAUGGGCUCAUCCCUCUUUCCAUCUCGUCCACGAAUUGGCCUUCGAUGCUGUAUAUGUUGUUCAUUGGACCUAUAUGUACUAACGGUGUCUCUCCUUCUUUGUACACCCACACUUUGAAUCUCUUUUCCAUCUCUAUAUGGCUUCUGAGCAGUUCCAUAAAGAAAGUGUUAGUUGGCUUGGUUGAAUUAGUUCAUAGGAAAUACUAUAAUUUGAUUCUUAAAGUAUUUAUUUGCGGUCUUAAUUAAUAUUUGAAAUUAGCAUUCCAUCAAAAAAAAUUAUGUACUUAAGAGUAAUUAAUUAUAUUUUAUUAAAGAAAAUAAAACGGGAAUAAUUUGACUUAGCAACGUGCAAAGAAACCUGAUUUAAAAGUCAAUAAGAAAAGUAUUAGGUUGCAAUUCGAAGGUAUUAGGUAACCGAGACAUGUGAGACUACAAAUACCAAAGCAAGCUUUAAGUAUGCGCUACGUUUCGUGAAUACUAAUUUUUCCAUUGCUAAGUUGACUCUAUGCUACACAAGUAAAUACAAUCAUAGAAUAAGACUAACCAUUUAUCAAUCAACUGAAUGAAGUUUGCAUACAUUUUCGAAGUUUAUGCAAUGUUUAUGGAUUUUACGUAAUUAUUUCGAAAUUUAUUUAAAUGCAAUAGUUUAUACGUAAUUAUUAAUGGAGGUAUAAUAUGCAUCAAAGUUUGGGAGAAUUUUCAUUUUCGUAUUCGAUUUUUUAGUUUCUAUUACCUUCAUUUUGUGUGUGUGCUAAUAUAAGAAACCAAAUCAAAGGAAAAGUAUAUUAAUACUUGCCUGCAUUAGUAUUAAUUACUACUUAAUUAAUUAGGUAAAUCAGUCUCCAGUUUAACGAGAUGCAGAGAUCAAAGAGACGAGGAAGAAUUAAAACUAGACCCGAUCGCUCGUUUCCCAAAGCAAACGAGUUGGUAAACCAAGAAAAUCAAAUUUGUACGGACUUCCAUUAAAAAAUUUACUCGAAAGAGUCAAAUACAUCUAUAUACAUAUGUAUAUUAAUUAGUAUAUAUAUAUAUGAAUAUCUAAUGGGAUAUUUUUGUAGAAUUUGAAUACAUCAUAAGACUUUACAAAUUGUAUGUAAUGCAUAUCAAAUGAAAAGUCAUUUUCAAUGAAAAUUCAAAUGAGAAAGAAUUAAGGAGGGAUUAAAGGGUUACUAAUUAUAUGAAAAUUGAUACUCCUAUUGUACACUUACGAAACCUAGGAAUUUAUAAGAAACGAGUAAGACGACAGUUAAAUAAAACUGAUAAUGUAAAAAAUGUCAUAUCUUUAGCUUAAAGUUUAUUUUCUUUGAAAACUAUACAUAGAAUUUUUUUUUUUCAAUUGCUAAUAUAUAUAGUUCAAUACUUAAUUAUUUUACUUUAUAGUUUAAUUGGUCAACUCUUAUUAAUUAGUUACUAGUUUCAAUUUUUUUUUAAAUAAGAGAAAAUGGUGGAAAAUGAAACUAUUUUUUUUUUAUCAAUGGAAAAUGAAACUCUAAAAAGUGAGAAAGAGCGAGAAAAAAUAAGAAAAGAAAUGUAGAAAAAGGAAAGAAAUUUACUGGUGAAAUGCAUAAGCGUUUCUGUAAACGGUUCCACGAGGAACAAAAGUUUUUUCUUUCUCAAAUGCAUACUUCUUCGACGUCAUGGCUUCACGUAUUGCCGCUCUUGAUUUCGCUAAACCUUUCUCAAUUCUAUUCCUCUUCUUUUCUUUCUUUUUAUCGCAAAAAAUUACACAUUUAGAAACGAAUCCAUAGAUAACUGAAUAAAAUCAUUUGGAUUAGUAAAAAACUGAUAACAAACCUUUUGAGCACCCGGAGUUAAUGUGACGUUUGAUGAAAGAAUGCUAAACUCCAUGGACAUGGACGGUGAAGGAGACGGUGCGAGAGAUGUAGCAUGGAAAAUGUUAAAUAUCAAUAUAAAUGAGAAAUGGAUAUAAAUCUUGAAUAUAUACAGGCACUUGAAGGGGGAAGAUAUACAGUCUCUCAACUUAAAAAACCUGAUGGCCGUAGAGCAUGCCAUUGAACAUGGCCUCGACAAAGUCCGAGACCACCAGGCAUGAAUAAUAUAUCUGUACAUUCAUUCAUACAUCUCUUCGUACAUUCAUAUUCAUCAACUCUUAUAUGGUCUGUUUGUCUCAGAUGGAGUACCUCAUGACGAAAAGGAGAAAUGUGACCAUAUAAACAAUUUUCUAUACCUUAUUAUUUAGCCUUCAGAUUGAUUAUUAAUUAGUGCUUACAGUUACAUCAAACAUUUUCUGUGGCAGGAAAAAAUGUUGGCGGAGGAGAAUCGGCAACUCAGUUUCCAGCUGGUACAUAAAUAGUUCAUAUAUCCUCGAAGCCUUUAGCGUUAUUGAUUUGGUUUGGAACUAUAUAUUAGUAUGUUUGGUGGGUUUGAUAUAUGCAGCAACAACAGGAGAUGGCUAUAGCUAGCAAUGCAAGAGGUAUGAUGAUGAGGGAUCAUGAUGGACAAUUUGGAUACAGAGUCCAGCCGAUUCAGCCAAAUCUUCAGGAAAAGAUUAUGUCGUUGGUCAUCGAUUGAUCAUUAGAGAUUUGAUGCAAUCUCAUUACCAAUCUACUAUCUAAUUCGUGGCUCUUUGUCUUUAUGAAUGUGUGUGUCUCUAUCAGACUUUUAUUUAGCUUACAUGUGUGUUGUUUGCUUAUGAAACCUCUAUGUAUUGGUUGUGUUGUAUGCCAAACUAAACGUUUGAAACUAUUUAAUUAUUGCAUGUGUGUGAAAACUAAUUAUUCUUUACUAAGCAAUACGUGAUUCGGGAGG